AACAACUGAAGCAAAUCCCUAGCUUUUUCCCCUUCUAACUGACGGUUCAUCUCCGCAUAAUGGUGCUCUCAAUCUUGGGGGAACCUUUCAGCCUUGGAGUCUCUUUGGAUUCGAUUUCAACAAAACAAAGAGAAGAAAUCCAUGGCAUAUUCGCACGGUGUGUAUGGCAUGGCGCGUGUAGAGGAGCAAUAGCGCGCGUGGGAUGAGGCGUGAAGACGCAUCUGGCACGGAGGCAGCAGCAGUUUGUUGACGUAAAGGCCUGCUUCCAGGCUAACAAGCGGCUGCACAAGGAAAAGAAACCCUUAGGGCACGUUUGGUUGGGAGGAAUGGAAUAGAGCUGUAAUGUAAUAGAGUUGUAAUGAAAUAGAGCUGUAAUAGAAUAAACCUGUAAUGAAUAAUUCAGUUGUUUGGUUGAAUGGAAUGGAAUAGAGUUGUAAUAGUA